rnacentral:rRNA from 1 species
AACGAACGCUGGCGGCGUGCUUAACACAUGCAAGUCAGGGAGAAAGUCUCUUCGGGGAUGAUUAAACCGGCGCACGGGUGAGUAACACGUGAGUGACCUGCCUUUUAGACUGGAACAACUUACCGAAAGGUGAGCUAAUGCCGGAUGAGUUAUAUAAGUGCAUGUUUAUAUAGGAAAAGUUGGGGAGACCUGACGCUGAAAGAUGGACUCGCGUCCCAUUAGCUAGUUGGUAGGGUAAUGGCCUACCAAGGCGACGAUGGGUAGCCGGCCUGAGAGGGUGGCCGGCCACACUGGGACUGAGACACGGCCCAGACUCCUACGGGAGGCAGCAGUGGGGAAUUUUGCGCAAUGCUCGUAAGAGUGACGCAGCGACGCCGCGUGAAUGACGAAGGCCUUCGGGUCGUAAAGUUCUUUCGACAGGGAAGAAAAUGCCUAUAAGUAACUGUGUAUGUAUUGACGGUACCUGUAUAAGCAGCCCCGGCUAACUCCGUGCCAGCAGCCGCGGUAAUACGGAGGGGGCGAGCGUUGUUCGGAGUGACUGGGCGUAAAGAGCACGUAGGCGGUGUUGUAAGUCAUUAGUCAAAGACUAGAGCUCAACUUUAGUAAGGCUAGUGAUACUAUAAUGCUAGAGUAUCAGAGAGGAUUGCAGAAUUCCUGGUGUAGCGGUGAAAUGCGUAGAUAUCAGGAGGAAUACCGUUAGCGAAGGCGGCAAUCUGGCUGGAAACUGACGCUGAGGUGCGAAAGCGUGGGUAGCAAACAGGAUUAGAUACCCUGGUAGUCCACGCUGUAAACGAUGGAUGC